AGCAACCUGUUUGAAUGUUCUUAUGGUGCUUGGAAUUCCGAUUUUGUCGUCGAUGCGCACACAACCGGUUUUUGAGGGUCGUCUGGUAACAUUCCAAGGUCACUAAUUUUCUGUCAUCUCAGCAGCAAUAUUUUUUUGUUUUACUAGCAGCAGUAUUGCAAGUACAGCUUGCCGUAAUACCAAAACGUCGAAGACCUGCUGAAAACCGCUUUGAAGGACCACUUGAGGGCUGAUUCGACCAGACGUUAAUGUUUGAACGAACAAGCAAAACACGUUAGGAGGUGAAACCGUUCUGCCAAUUCAUUUUUUUUAGUUCUACUUGUUCUCACGAAAUCACUCUUUAAAUAAGCUACCACGUCUUGAAUAGCUCUAACUUCCAGUUAUGAUUUAUUUAGAUAAAACUUCGGCCUCCUCAGGAUCAACUGACUCUCUUAGAUGUUCUAAAAAUGUGACAGAUUCCAGGUAGAAGCUGACAUUCUUUAUAACAAUCAGUUAUGGUUAGCUUUCAACUAUAAACAGAGAGAACACGUGGCUUUGUAUUUCAGUGUAUGCUUAUAUCUUUAAUUAGAUAAUAGAAGUAUUACGUGUUAUUACGAAUACCUCUGUAGUGAUAACUUGUGUAAUUAUAUAAGGUUGUCAAAAGUUUUAAUUUAUGUGUACAAGUACGAUUGUACGUACAGAAUUAUAGUCUCUGGUAAUGCAUAUAAAACAGGUAUAUAGAUAUAAACGAACAAAGACAUGAUAUCCCAAUAGCAUACACGAAAUAAGGUUAAAAGAAACAAGACGAGAAAUUGACAUGUCCAUUUUCUGUUUUGUAUUACACACCCUAAGUGAAGGGCAGAUUAUUAUUAAAGGAUUAAGCGUGUUAUCUGCAUGAAUUACAUGUCGUAAUAAUGUAUUUAUUUUUUAUUCAGUAAAGCCACACUAUACGGGUAAGAGUAGGUUAAAAACUUCAUUUCCGAAAUUGUGUAGUUUAGUUAAAAUUGUUACCACCUCAUCAUUUAGUUUUACCAUUAUACAAAAUGAUAUUUUUAGUGUUGUUGUGUUUGUAUUUACUGAACAUUGUAAUACUUUUUUUUUCUACUGCUCGUUGUUAAACAUCUCAAGUACAGUUAUAUUAUUUCAGGUGUAACAACAUGAAUAAUUCAUACUAUAAUACAUUUCCUAUUUCUAGUCAUAUAUAUUUAUUUAUCUAUUGGACACUAGUCCGUCUCUACAUUUAGUUUUACUUCAUUUAAUUAGACAAUGCAUAUCAACAUUAACAGGUCAUAUUUUCUGAAGUGUGUAAUUAAUUAAGCUAUAGCUAAUUCGAUAUUUUUUUCACGUAUAGAACAAAGUUAAGAAGUGAAAUUGAGAAACUGUUAUUUCAAAAUUAUUUUCUACGUUUUCAUAAUUACUUAGAAAUUUAAAAUAAUAAUAUAAACAUGAAAUUAAAAGUACGUGCACUACACAGCUUCAAAUCUCUCAUCACUUAACACACGCCAGUCAUCAGGAGAGAUUUUUAAUCCUGUUUCUUAAAGUUUACUUGUUGAUGAUGUCAGUGCUACAAUCAGGGCAUUUUAAGAUAAACUAAAGUUAACACAUGAAUGUGCUAUUUCAUUUUUUGGUCUGUCAUCACAAAACUAUCUAUCCGAAUGAAUAAUAGCACACCUAAUUAGAAUUUUAUAUAAUAACCUAAGUGUUUUUUAUAUAUUGUAUAGCCAUUGAUUUUGUAAAAAAUGGUAUACUGGUACAUUUCUGAUAUACUGAAUUAAGAGCGUUUGAAUUUUAUUUGUUACGUUUCUUACACAGUUCCUCUUUUUUUUACCUAUCUCAGGAAUGAUCACACUUUCUUACUGUUUAGACUAUUUAAGUAAUUAAGACAGGCAAUUUAUUGUUAUUUAUAGUUUUUUAUGCAUAAUAUAUCAUAUACCAUCAUAUACAAAUGUUGCUUAAAACAUUACUUUGGCUUUAUAAUAGAAGUAAGCGUUCUUUACAAAUAAUGAUAACUUUCAGUUUUCCAUCCUUUUCUCAGGUUCCCAUAUUUUCCUAUACUUUUAUGGCUUAUAAAUUAGUCACUUUGAAAUUGAGUAAAAUAUUUAAAUCAAUUAAAAAAACAUCAUAUACUUUUUAUUAUUUCUUAAAAUAAUGCGUCAUUCUAAUUCUUACACCAUUGUCUGUUUUUCUAAAGAAUAGGUAAGCUUAUUUAGUUCUCUAAAUGAGUGUUAUACGUGUUAACAAAUUUGAAAUAUAAAAUGUUGAAAAAACAAGUGGAAAAAUUAUAAAGCUUAUUAUUUGUUUUGGUUCAGACAGAAAAGAUACAACGAAAUGAGAUAUGUCAUACCAAAGUAGGUUUAUGAAAUAUAUAUAUAUAUAUAUAUAUAUAUAUAUAUAUAAUAGUAAAUGGAAUAUACGUUGUACAGAUGUAUACAUGGGAUACAAGAAUUCUUAAGUUAUUAGGUUGAGAAUCAUAAUUCAGCUAAAACGUGUAUAUAUAUACAUUUGAAUGAAUAUAUAUAAUGUAAUAAUUUGAUGUUCGUGUAUAAUUUGGAUUCUGCUUUUGUGAAACUUGACUACCAAUAAGAAAAGCAGCGAGUGUAUAUUUGUGUUUGUUAUUAAAGCAUAUGUAAAUUAA